rnacentral:tRNA from 1 species
UCCCUGGUGGCUAAGUGGUAAAGAAUCUGCCUGCAAUGAGGAGAUGCAGAAGACACAGGUUCCAUUCCUGUGUCGGGUA